rnacentral:lncRNA from 1 species
GUGGUGUUAAUCGAAGGAUCAAGCUUGCAGUAGCUUCUCCUGAUCUGAGGGAUACCUUGAGAAGUGCAACCUACAGCAGAUCUCUCAUGGGCUGCCAGAUGUGUUUAGGGCACCAGGAAGUCAACAGAAAGCUGUCCCCAGUGUUCUUCACUUGGCAUCACCUUGUGAACAAGCACCAAGUCUCGAUGAAUGGGAGGGGACUCACGACUUCCACCUGGAGCACGGUGUCUAUUCGAUCCACUCUGGAGUCUCAGCAGGAAUCGGAAUUCAUCCUGCAGGUCUUCUCCAGGAGGCACGUUAUUAGAGAUGGAGGAUGUAUCCGUAUGCACGCAGGAGCACCAUCUCCUGGAGCUUGUUUUCCUGGGAACCAGCUGAGCAGCGCUGCCUCCUGA